AGGAAGACGAGGGAAGGCACGCAUGGAUGUUGUAAGAUAUCACUGGACUGCCUAGGUCUGCUUUUGAUGGUAAAAAGAGGAAGAGGGAGCUUAUCAUAUCGGAACCAUAUCCAGAAUCUGAGUAUUAUCCUAGUUGUAAUAUUCCAAAACCAGAUCAAGAGAGACUGGAGAGAAAGGCUGCUUAUGAACAAUCUAAGAAUGAUAUUACCAGGUGGGAACCUUCGGUCAAGAGAAACAGAGAGGCACCUACUUUAUAUUUUGAUGAGGAUGUAGACUUGGGAUUUUCAUUUUUAGGAGCAAUUGCUUCUGAAUUUGAACCCAGAAUUGAUUUCGAGAAGAAAAUUGCUUCCUUAGUGAAUGAUACUGAAGUCGUGGAAGCUCACAAAAAGAUGGUGCCAGGCUUCUUGAACUGAACAAGAUAUGCGUUGAAGAUGUGAAAGCUCGUCAGGCCCGACUGGCUAAAAUGUGUAGUCUACUUUUCCGUCAUGAAAUGAAGGUGAAGCGAAUAAAAAAGACCAAGUCCAAAACCUAUCACCGCUUGUUGAAGAAAGAUAGAUCGAAAGCAUUGGAAGCUGAGAUUUAAUUGGAUCCGGAUGCUGCUAAAGACCUUGCAAUGAAACAAGAGUUCAAAAGAGCUGAGGUAUUGGAAUAUCUAUGACAUGAUGUGAAUACUUUAAGAGUUGGGGUUAACUUUUGAUUUCAUUUUCGAUUCUUGAGAAUCAGCUGGUCUAUUACAAU